rnacentral:rRNA from 1 species
AGACCCGAAACCCGGUGAUCUAGCCAUGGGCAGGUUGAAGGUUGGGUAACACUAACUGGAGGACCGAACCGACUAAUGUUGAAAAAUUAGCGGAUGACCUGUGGCUGGGGGUGAAAGGCCAAUCAAACCGGGAGAUAGCUGGUUCUCCCCGAAAGCUAUUUAGGUAGCGCCUCGUGAAUUCAUCUCCGGGGGUAGAGCACUGUUUCGGCUAGGGGGCCAUCCCGGCUUACCAACCCGAUGCAAACUGCGAAUACCGGAGAAUGUUAUCACGGGAGACACACGGCGGGUGCUAACGUCCGUCGUGAAGAGGGAAACAACCCAGACCGCCAGCUAAGGUCCCAAAGUCAUGGUUAAGUGGGAAACGAUGUGGGAAGGCCCAGACAGCCAGGAUGUUGGCUUAGAAGCAGCCAUCAUUUAAAGAAAGCGUAAUAGCUCACUGGUCGAGUCGGCCUGCGCGGAAGAUGUAACGGGGCUAAACCAUGCACCGAAGCUGCGGCAGCGAACGUAUCACUUAAAGCGAUUCAGCGGAUGACGAUUGACGGAGCGAAGCGACGUCAAAGCGUAUACAAAGUCGAGUCGGUUUAAGGAUACGUUCGUUGGGUAGGGGAGCGUUCUGUAAGCCUGCGAAGGUGGCCUGUGAGG